rnacentral:rRNA from 1 species
GACGAACGCUGGCGGCGUGCUUAACACAUGCAAGUCGAACGGUGAAGGGACCAGCUUGCUGGUUCUGGAUGAGUGGCGAACGGGUGAGUAACACGUGAGUAACCUGCCCCCUUCUUCUGGAUAACCGCAUGAAAGUGUGGCUAAUACGGGAUAUUCUGGGUCUGUCGCAUGGCGGGCCCGGGAAAGAUAUUGCUUCGGUGGGGGAUGGGCUCGCGGCCUAUCAGCUUGUUGGUGGGGGGAUGGCCUACCAAGGCGGUGACGGGUAGCCGGCCUGAGAGGGGGGACGCUCACACUGGGACUGGGACACGGCCCAGACUCCUACGGGAGGCAGCAGUGGGGAAUAUUGCACAAUGGGCGCAAGCCUGAUGCAGCGACGCCGCGUGAGGGAGGGAGGCCUUCGGGGUGUAAUCCUCUUUCGCCAGUGAAGCAGGCCUGCUCCUUGUGGGUGGGUUGACGGUAGCUGGAUAAGAAGCGCCGGCUAACUACGUG